UAAGAAACUGUGAACGGGAAGAGUAGUUAGAAUGCCCAUCAGAGAGCGGAAUUGCAGCGCUGAGAGAUUCCGUUGGAUGCAGACUAGUGAAAGUCACCCUGGAGUUGCCUAUUUGAGCCUACGUGCAUUUAUGUGCAUAUUGAUAGGGUAGAAUAAGCCGGUUGCAGCCGUUAUCUGUAUGAGUGUCGCGUUUGAUUAGGGAGAGUUUGCCUGAUAUUCGCGAAACAAAGGUGGUACCGCGAAAGAGUAACCUUUCGUCCUUUGA
rnacentral:ncRNA from 1 species